CUCCUCUCAGCCUCUUGGAGGGCGGGACCGCUGCCAUCCCUACAUCCUAGACCUGGCCCCGGAAGAGCGAGCUCUCCAGACCGAGGGUGCAGGAGCCACGGAGGGCCGCGAAGACUUCCCGGAGGAGGGGCCUCUUCGCUGGGACUCAAAGGAAGUCGGGGAGGCGGGAGAGCCCAGGGAUGGAGGGCUUCGGGGCGGAGCAAGGUGGACGAAGCCAGGAACGAGGGAAGGAGCUGGGUUAGGAAGGGCUUUGAAUGCCGAACCCAGCACUUCGUGUUCUUCGCCCCCAACACACGCAGGGCAUGUACGCAUGUAUGUCGUGCGUAGCGCACGCCAUAGGGAGCCGGGGAGAGCCACUUUGGCCCAGUCACUGGAGAAGGCGCCAUUGAGGACUUGGGCCCAGCCCUGGCCGCCAUAUUGGCUGGGGCGGGGCGCCGAGGAAGAGGCCCAUUUGGGACAUGUCUGGAAGGCAGCUGGAGCUGUGGCCUGGCGCAUGGAGCAGCCGAUAGGAUUCCCCCAGGAAUGCAGGACGGAAGGAGAAGAUGAGACGAGACGAAAUGAGAGGUCCAGAGGAGGAGCGGCCAGGAAUGGGGCAGGGAGAGGCUCAAGGAAGAGAGAGUGAGCCACGGCAGCACAGGCCGAAGAGAGGCCCAGGAGGCUGGGGGUGGAGAGGAGGCCACUGAGAACCUGAGACUCAGACUGGAAAAUGAAAGGCUACUGCUCCAGAAGGCGUGGCCAGCCCCCCCCCCCCCAAGACACUGUAGCUAGAAGUCAGUUCAGUUCCACCAACAUUUCGCCAUCAAACAAGCCAGAGAGCCAGCACUUCUGAGGCCCACUCCUGACUCUGACUCUCAAGAGCUGCCAUUCCAAAAGGAGGCCUUGGAUUGGGCCAUCCCAGGCCAACAGGGCGCAGAUGGAAAGGAGCCUUGGAGGGGCCAGGCUGCCAGUGGGAGGGCAGGGCAAGGCCUCCUGCAGAAGGGCCAGGGAUGAGGCAAUGUCAUUGCAAGGGCUCGCAGAUAGGGCACUGUGUGUGAGCAACAGCAAGGAGUACCUGGAGGAGGUUAAUGCCUAAGAAGCCUGGCCCAGAGGAUAUAAAGUACAAAAUGGAGAGCUAUUGGAGUUCAUGGAAUAAGGGUAAGAGCUGCCCUGGACAGGUAACUGUGGCUUUUUAAAUUAAUAAUCAAUAACCAAACAUUACAUUUCACAAAGUUUUAUUAACAACUAAAGCAAAAGAACUGGCCGAAUUCAGCCCCAUGGCAGGUCAAAAAAGAGGAAGAGGGAAGAGUUAUCCCACCCAAAUUCAAAAGGUGGGGGGGGGGGGACAUGCAGGAAGGGGGAAUUUGGGCAAUAUCCAGGGACUUAUGGGGGACAAAGUCCAAAGGCCCAAAAUCUCCAUUUAUACAUACCACAGGUCCUUGUUGUGCUGGACCCACAUAUGGAUCAUUAACAGAGCUAGAAGAGAUCUUCUCAAGACACUAAGUCCAUUUUCUAGCUGUGGAGAUUGUACAAAUAAUACAGCAAUGGAUUGAUUAUUGAUUUAUAAACUGACUAGAUCCUCUGCUUGCUGUGCUUACAAAGUAUCUUCAGUGUAUGUCAGUGAAGUGAAACUCCUAAGAACUUCUCUUCAGGGCCAGGCACAAGGACACUAAGGAGACUCUUGUUACAUAAAAUAAACUAUUUGCUGAGAGUACACACAGAAAAAGGGAUUUCCAACUUUAAGGGAGUCUAACUUCUCCCAAAUAAAACUCCCGGGUUCCACAAGGAACCUACUUCUCCUGUUUUCACAAGCUACACUGAUCCUUCCUGAUCUGACGAACCCCAAGUUUUUACUAAUUAGAAACUACCACUAUUAAUCCUUCAAAUUCUUAACUUCAUCUCCAAGUUAUAAAAAUAACAAAGGCCAGCUGGUUGAGUCUCAACAAGAAGCAAGUUAGGACUCUGAGCCUUAGCAGAUUCAGAGUCCAGACCAAAGACUGACUGGGUCUUUCUUUGUUCUCCUCUGAGCUAAAACAAUCUACGAAAACAGCAAGACAGUCACUAGUGUUUCCCAAUUUGAAAAAAGAAAAACACUUCGCUUCUUCAGGUCUUUCCCUCCUUUCCCUCUACCUCAGACAGUGAGAGACAGAGAAGAAAAGGUGUCACCUGCUCUCCCCACUGCUACAGUCAUACCCAGAGAGAGUAACUGUCAUAGAAAAACCGUUAAACUGUCAACAUUUGAAAUUGAUACGAUCUCAGCCAAUUCUUUCUCAAGGCAGCUUCUCUACUUCUUAUCUCUAAACUAAUAUAACAAGACCUAAUUUCUAAUGUCAUCCUUAUAAAAUUGAGGGCCAGAGUAUAUAUUAGGUAGCUGGUAAGUGCUAACAUGGCAACUAUUGCAACCCACAACCUCUAAUUGAUCCUGGUCUUGCCUAGUCUUUUAGGUCAAGGUCCUUUUUCCCCUAGUAGAUUCCAAGAUCAAGAAUCCAUGGAGAUGACCCAGAGAACAAAGAGUGCCACAGUGUUUUCUGCCCUGGGACAACCCCCAGGCCCAUAAUUUGGACACAGCCAAUCUGAAAAGAGACAGGAAUGGAGGGAGGUAGCUGUGAGACCUCAGAAGAGACCCCACCCUCCUACCCUGUGUUUCUGCUGCCCAAGGAGCUAGAUCAUGACUGGCUACAGGACUGACUAAGCACUGAAACUGUUCUCAGAGGGAAGACAGACUGCAGACUAGUUUUAUAAUACCCCAGAUACAAAAACAAUCUUGAUUUGUGGACAGAAGCAGCUGAACCAUCUUAACAGCCCUCCAUUGGCAAAUUCUCCAAAUUUCCACAUUCCAGGGACAGGAAGAAGGAGGCCAUGGCAAAGAAUGACCGUAGCUAGUUCAUUAAGGAAUCCAAAAAGAACCCUUUGUGGCAGAAAACCUUGAGAACCCAGUCUGGAGUUCUUGUGCCACUGUUUAUGCAGUCUCUUUUUCCACCUCUCCCGUCCCGCCAGCUCCCCUUCUGCCCCAUUUUGAAUGGGAAGAGCACAACUCAACAGGCCUAAAGCUCUGUGGUGUCUCACCUGGGAUCCUAGCUACCUACCCAUUAGCCUGUGGGACUGUUGUUUGCUGUGGAGGAGGGACGGGGGGCAGAGCGUGUGGAGUCCAGUACUUUAGAACAGCCAACGAUGUCAAAUAUGGAUAACAAAGCCAGGAAUGGAGCCCAAGGGUGAAAACCAAGCCUCCCCAGCUUUCUCUCCUUCUGGUCUUGCUGGCAGGCCAGUCUUCCCAGCCGUCCACAGCUCCUGUCCGGUUUGCAUUAGAUGGGCUUCCAAGAAGGGCUUGGGGAAGCCAGAAUGCCAGUGGGGUUCAAAGGAAUGCCCCAACCCCAAGCAGAUCAUUGCUUUGGGCUUCAUCUCUCAGGCUGAUAUUGGGCAAAAAGGCAUGGCAAGAGCAGACUUACUUCCUUUUAGCUAUUUCCUUUUGUUAGUGGCACCGGCACUCAGUUCUUCACUAAAAGAACCUUGGCCCUCCCUUGGUUGGGUAAAGCUUGUUAGCCACUAGACCCCGGGCAAAGGGAACCCAAGAGGAACAGAGGGCCCUAGGGAGAGCCAAGACCUGCAGAUGGUAGGAGGGAAUAGUUCAGGAGCCAAGAGUUGGAUCCAGUGGAAAUGAUGCCCAGCAGAGGUGGCGAACCCCCAAGAGUGGUGCAAGCAAGCAGUCACCAUUUGUGAAGCAUCUUUUGCAUGCCAGGCACCAUGCUAAACCCUGGGAUUACAGAAAGAAGCCAAAGACAAUUCCUGCCCCCAAAGCACACUGUCCAAUGGGGGAGACGACUAGCAAAAAAAGAUACACAGCAAGCUACUGGCAGGAUAGAGAGAUAGUGAAUAAUUAAAAGCGGGAAGGCACUAAAACUAAGGAGGGUUGGAGGAACAAGUAGGUGGCUCAGGGGAUAGAGUGUCAGGCCUGGAGAUGGAAAAUCCUGGAUUCAAAUAUGACCUCAGACAUCCUCGCUUUGUGGUCCUGGCUGAGUCAUUGAACCCCAACUGCCUAGCCUUUGUUGUUCUUCUGCCUUGGAAGUAUUAAUUCUAAAACAGAAGGUAAGGGUUUGGAAAAGGGGGGAGGGGCUUUCAGGUCAAAAAAAGGAAUUUAAGUACAAUGGCAUCCAAGGUGAUGGUUAGCUCUAAAUCAUCCUGGUCACACAUAUCUUCCAGUCAGCCUUUUAUCUGCCUUCAAGCACUACCCCAUACUGAUGAUAAGAUGACCUGGGGGAAACUGACCCGCCUAUGUGUGGGUAUCGGGACCUUUUCUUGACACUUAAGAGGUUAUACUAUUUAGUUAUAAGGGUAGACCCUCCUAGGAAGGAAGCCUUACUCUAUAGUCAGAAGACCUGGGUUCGAUUCCCACUUCCGAGCCCCAAGUGAUUUGUAAAAUGGCUCCUCGUUUGUGAAUUCAAAAUGAAUUGGAGAACUGUGAAUUGUGAAGUAAAAGGCGACAAUCAGAUGACUUCUGAGAUCUCAAGGUAAAAUGUCUUUUGUUCUGUCAGCUUGUGCUUGUGCUAGGAUUUGAACUGGGUAGUGACCCACAGAGUGCCUCCAGCCAAUCUUCUUUGGAUUCUGGGUAUUCUAGACCAUGGAAAUGGCUGAAGUUGCUUUCUCUUUGGCGCAUAAUUUCAGUUUGUAGAGGUUUGAGAGAUUCUGGGGAUCAGAGAAGAUGUCUAAUCCUCUAUCUCAUUGCUCAUGUGACCCUUCUCCCCAUCUGACAAAUCAGGAAACUGAGGCUCUAAAAGAGAAUCCCACGUAGGUCUAACCCUUUCAGCUGUCUCCACUUCAGGUUCUGAUUCUGCAUACGGACCACAAAUAGGCCCCAAAACAAAGGCUUCAAUUCUAGGAAGCAACCAUUAUUUAGUAAGAAACUAGAUAAGGUAACACAGAAGCCAGCUCCAUUUCAAAUAGGAAGAGCAACUGGAAUAAGGCUGUGGUGGUCUAAGGACACAUUUGGGCUCAGGCUUUGCUCAUUGAAAUGUGAGAGGCUACUGGGGGGACAGUGAACAGAACACCAGACCUGGCAUUGGGAGGACCUGAGUUCAAGUCUGGGAUUUGAGACUUCCUAGCUGUGUGGCCCUGGGCAAGUCACAUAACCUCUAUUUGCCUCAAUUUCCUAGGGGGUAAAAGGGGAAAAUAAGAACACCUUCCUCCCAGGGCUGCUGUGAGGAAUCAAAGAGGUCCUCUUUGUAAAGUGCUGAGCACACCACAAAGGAAGUGCCGUAUAGAUAUGAACGAUUACUCUCGUGACGGUCAUACGUCAGUGGUUCAGCAGACCAGAAAACCAAAGUCUCGUUUCAAUGGCUGCAUCAGCUUUUUGGGAACUUAAACCUGUGGAUGAAGCCAUGCCUGAGAUUUCCCAGAGUGGCCAUUGUGGGAUGGGGGUCACCCGUAGCUCUCCUCAUGGGCUCACCCUCUAUUAGGAAGGGUUGUCGUCCUCUGACCCUGCGCGUCUCUUCUUCCCUGUCUUUAACCUCUACCUUCUGUCAGACAGAAGAGUGGCAAAGGUUAGGCAUUUGGGGGUAAGUGACUUGCCCAGGGCCACACAUCCAGGGCUCGUCUUUUCAAAGGGUAACCCGGCAGGGUUGGAUAUUAGAAAGGGGAGCAGACAUUGGCAUCUCCAGAACUCCAUAAUCCUGGAUGAAGCAUCCUUUCUCUAUUCCGCAUGGGAAGCAAGUAAAGAGAGACACAGCAAGCUACAUAGUGAAUAAUUAAAGUUAUUCCAUAAUUCAUGAAAUAAUCGCCUUCUUGGGGGCACAGGGCAUUCCUCAUUCCCCAUGGCGAAUCAGGACUCUCUUUAGUGUUGCUCAACUGAUUGGCACAAAAUUGCGUCCGCAGAUUCCCAGCCACACGCUGUGGCCCUUGGCUUCUCCCAAAGAGCUCUCACUGCCCAUGUGGGUCUUGGAACCGCAGCAAUGGCCCAGUAUUCCCAGGCAUUGUGACUUCAUGAGUACAGUCUUCCUAGACUUCUCUCCCUCCCCAGGCUCAGGCUUGCUUCUCAGCUGCUCUCCAAGGGUGGCCCAAGUGGCCCUGAGAGUCCUGGAGACCCUUCCCAAAGCCCCUCCCUUGAUUGGGAGAUAAUUCCUGGUCCAGAGUGAUCUCUGCUAAUGAGGAAAAGGAGGAAGUGAUAGAAAUGAUCCGGAGCUGCCAUCUUUGUGGUGGUCGCCCACUUGCUGAUUUGUAAAUGAACAGAAAUGGAUCUGCCUUCCCUCACCGCACCCACUCCGCUGGAAAAAAGAAAAGACAAACCAACUUCCUGGAACAGGAAUAGCAGAUCUCCCGAUGGCUUCUGCACCUCUGUCCCACUCGGUGCCCCUGUACCAGUGAUGGCAAAUCUUUCAGAGAUGGGGUACUGGCCCCUGUCUCUACCCCACCACCCAGAUUGAGUGACACGCCCCCCCAUCAAGUACUGGAGUGUGUCCUGCCUCCCCAUACUCUACACAAGAGAGGGAGGAAGUGGGCUGCUGGCCAGAGGGGCCAGUGAAGCGAGGAAUGUCCUCUGAGAGUGUAGAGGGGGGAGGGAAGUGGCUAGAGGAUUCUGCCACCUAUGAGCCGCCCACCUUACCCUCUGGGUGCUCCCAUCAGGCUAUUAGGUGGAGGGGUGGGGGAUGUGAAAAAACAUUGCCAGGAACAAUGGAGGCAGGAGGGGAGCAGCUUCCCCAAGUCCCUCUGCUUUUCUAGUAACAAAUGGGAGAAGGGGGUGGCCACGUGCCCAUGGAGAGUGCUCUACAUGCCGUCUUUGGCACCCAUGCCAUAGGUUUGCCAUCACUGCCCUAUAUCAUCUCCUCUCUGUUAUCUGUCAGGUACCACUUGGCUCUCCGCUUUCUUUAUAAGCACUUUUCAGGACUAAUCACUUGCUCUGCCUGUGCACAGACUGUCACCUCCUUUUCUUGCUUAGGAUCACGGCCAUCGGGGGCUAAUAAGGUUCCCAAAACACCAGUGAAGAGUGCAGUCUGCUCUGGGAUCUAGAAGCAAAUUGGAACCACUGAGGCAAGUCAGUUACAAGACACUACAGGACCCUCCACCAAAUAGCUACUCCUUGCCUAAAGGGAAGCUCGUGAGCACCCCCCAAAGGCCUAAUCGAAACUAUAGCUAUAAUGGGUCCACAUAAAAGUAGAGGAAGGCACAGGAAGUGAUGCAAAGAAGUGUCUUUAAAAGGAGUUACAACUUCCUGUGAGGGGCAGUUCUUCGUUCUUCAGAGUUCUGAGUUCGAGUUGGAGACUGGCGAAGAAUCUACUUAUUGGACCCGGUGUGACUGUUCUUAAAUCUCUCCCUUUGAGCAACCAUGUGGGACCUGCCCGGCUGUCAAAUAGCUAUCAACCACCAAUCACUGUGGCGGAAGAACACUGCUGAGGGCUUAUGAAUUCGAGCAUUAGAAAGGGGAGAACUCCGUGCUGUAAAGGCCAAAACUAAUGCUUUUGUGCUUGAACUCUAGCUUAUCAGCUAUCCAGCAGAGAAUUCCAGAUGGCUCUGAAGUACACACACUAGAACUUUUCUUUCCGAAAUAAAGAAAAUGAUCCUUUCAGACACAAUUUGUAGUUAUUCAUUUUUGGCCCUUUUCUUUUUAAGUAUUGAGUUCCAAAUUCCAUUCACUGAGAAGGCAAGCGAGAUGAUAUCAACUCUAUGUGAGAAAUGAAGUAAAAUAUAUUUCCACAUUAGCCCUAUUGCAAAAAAAAAGCAAAAAAUAAACAAAGGGGAGAAAAUUCUACUUCAAUCUGCACUCAGAGUUCCUCAGUUGUCUCUCUGGGGAUGGGUGGAUGGAUGACAUUUUUCAUCUCGCAUCCUUUGGAAUUGUCUUGGGUCACUGUAGAGAGCAGAGUAGCUAAGCUUUCACAGUUGAUCAUCAUCACACCAUGACUGUUACUGUGCAUAAUGAUCUCCUGGUUCUUCUCACUUCACUUUGCAUCAGUUCAUGUAGUUCUUACCAUGCCUUUCAGAAUCGCCCCCUUGUAUCAUUUCUUUCAGCACAAUAGUAUUGCAUCACAAUUAUAUGCCACUACUUGUUCAGCCAUUCCCCAACUGAGGAAUAUUCCCUUCAUUUCUAAUUCUUUGCCACCAUCAAAAGAUCUGCUGGGGGCAGCUGGGUGGCUCAGUGGAUGGAGAGCCAGACCUAGAGACGGGAGAUCCUAGGUUCAAAUCUGGCCUCAGAUACUUCCCAGCUGUGUGACCUUGGGCAAGUCACUUAACCCCCAUUGCCUAACCCUUACCACUCUUCUGCCUUGGAGCCAAUACACAGUACUGACUCCAAAACAGAAGGCGAGGAGUUAAAAAAAAAAAAAAAGAUCUGCUAUAAAUAUUUUUUUACUUUUUUACCUUUUCCUUUUCUUUUGAUCUCUUUGGGAUACAGAAUUGGUAGAGGUAUUUCUGGGUCAAAGGUAUGUACAGUUUUAUAGCUCUUUAGGUAUACUUCCAAAUUGUUUUCCAGAACAGUUAGACCAGUUCACAACUCCAUCAACAAUUCAUUAGUGUACCUAUUUUUUCUCAUUCCCUUGGAUUUUAUUAUUACUGAUAGGUAUGAGGUAUUAGAGUUGGUAUAAAUUGCAUUUCUCUAAUCAUUAGUGAUUUUGAGCAUUUUUCCAUAUGAUUAUAAAUAGCUUUGAUACCCUCAUCUGAAAACUGCUUCUUUAUAGCUUUUGACCAUUUAUUAGUUGAGGAAUUGCUCUUUUUUUUAAUUUUAAUUCAAUCCUCUACGUGAGAAAUGAAGCCUUUACCAAAGAAACAUGCUAUAAAAAUGUUUGAUAUUACUUUAUUGUUAACAGCAACUUUUAGCAAAAUGACAUUUCCCCAAUUGGCUCCUUUAAUUAGGUUGAUUUUUGCUUUUGUCUUAUCUGAGAUCACAAUUGCUACCAUUGCCUUUUUUAUUUCAGCUGAAGCAUAUUGUUAAAUUCUGUUUAUAUUCUUCUGUUUCAUGUGUGUCUUUUAUAAACAACAGUAUUGGGUUCUGGUUUCUAAUCCAUUCUCCUGUCUGCUUCCUUUUUAUGGGUUAACCUAUCCCAUUUAUAUUCACAGUUAUGAAUAUUGUGUAUUUCCCUUCAUCAUAUUUUCUUCCAUUUCUCUCCCCCACUCCCUGACCCUCCUCAAAAGUCUUCUUCUGAUUACUGUUUCCUUUAAUUUAUCCUCCAUUUUAACAUCCUCUUCCCCUUUUCUUGACCCUCCCCACCCCCACCAUAUUUCUCUAUUGGAAUAUCUAUUUUGAUACCCAAAUGAAUAUAUAUAUAUAUGUGUGUGUACUUUUGAACCAAUUCUGAUUAGGACAAGGAUCAAGCAUUGCUCACUUCCCUCAUUUUCCCCACCACUGUAAAAGCUCUUCCUUGAGCACAUCUUUUAAAUGAGAAAAUCUUCCCCAUUCUACCUCUCCCUUUUCUGUGUGAAUUCCUCUUUCUCACCCUUCAUUUCUUUUGGAAACCAUUCUAACAUAAUUGAUUCAGACCCAUGCCCUCUGUCCAUGUAAAGUCUUUAAUUGCUCUAAUAAUAAAGUUCUUAAGUCAAAUUUAUAAAAAUGUAAAUCAUCCUCCAAUUAACAGAUGGUCAAAGGAUAUUAACAGUCAGUUCUCAAAUGAAAAAACAGAAGUCACUUAUAUAAAAAAUUGUCUAAACCACUCCUGAUUAGAGAAAUGCAAAGCAAAACAAUACUGAUGUGUACUCAAAAAUCAGGUUGGCCAAUAUGACAGAAUAGGAAUGUAAUAGCCCCAAAGGGGGGGGGCAGGGCUGGGACCAGAGUUCCGCAGGUAAGGAAGGGGGAAAAUAAUAAGAGAAAAUUCAAACGUAGAAGUAGGACCUUACCUGAAGAUAAGGGUGAAUCACAGUCACAAUCACAGUGCGGGGUCAGAAGGGACCCAAUGCUGGUGGCAUUGGGUUCGAGUUUAUUACAAACUGGAAAACUUUUAAAGGUCAAGACCACAGGAAUUAUAAACAAUUGCCCAUGACAAAGGGCCAUGGGAAAGUGUAACAAGAAUAUAGAUAGUGCACCUGGUAAGAUAAUGGUUUGGGUAAAAUAAUGGUUACAGGAAUCAUCUGGGGAUCAUGGUACAGUCAGCAAUCUUGUUAUAGGAAACUCAAAGAAGGUGGAGGUGAGGGCACUUGGGCCCAUUUUCAGACAGACCAUGAGAAUUCGACCUCUGAGGAAGGCCCUCAGAUCUUUAUCUAAGAUAAACUCAGAGAUAUCAACCUCUGACAUAAGAAAAUGAUAAAUGUUGAAGAGAAUGUGGUGAAAUUAGGACACUUAAUACAUUGUUGAUGAAGUUGUGAUCUAAUUCAAACAUUCUGGAGAAUGAUUUGGAAAUAUUCCCAAAGGGCUCUAAAACUGUGUAUACCCUUUUUGAUCUAGCAAUACUAGUACUAGAUCUGUAUCCCAAAGAGAUUAAAAAUAAAGAGAGAUCAGAGAAGGAGCUUUUUAUACAAAAAUACUUGUAACAGCUUUUUCUUGGUAGCAAGGAAUUAGAAAUUGAAGGGUUUUCCAUCAAUUGGGUAAUGGCUGAAUAAGUUGUGGUAUAUGAUGGUGAUGGAAUACUUUUGAACUACAAGAAAUGAUGAACUGGAUGAUUUCAGAAAAACCUGCAGAGACUUGCAAGAACUAAUGUGAAGUAAUGAACAGAACCAGAACUGUAUACAGAAUGACAACCGUAUUUUUUGAUGAACAACUGUGAAUGACUAGUUAUUCUCAGUAAUACAGUGAUUCAAGAUGAUACCAGAGACUCAUACUGAAAAAUACCACUUAUUUUCAGAGAAAGAACUGGCAGUCUUAACACAGACCAAAACAUACUACAUUUCAUUUUCUUAUUUUUUUGUUUGAGAUCUCUUCCACAAAAUGACUAAAAUGGAAAAAUGUUUUACAUGACUACAUAUGUAAAAUUUAUAUGGAUUUCUUACUGUCUCAGGAAGUGGAGAAGUGUGGGAAGGAAGGAGAGAAUUUGGAACUCAACAUUUUUAAAAUGAAUGCUAAAAAUUUGUUUUUACAUGUCAUUGGGAGAAAUAAAAUGUUAUUAUUUUUAAAAUGAUAAAGUUCCUAGGAGUUAUAUGAAUCACUUUCCCAUCAUAUAAACAGUUCAACUUUAUUGAGAUCCUUAUGAUUGAUUACUCUUUCUUGUUUACCUUUUUAUGCUUCUCUUGAAUAUUGUACUUGUCAUUUUUUUUUAAUUCAGCUCUGGUCUUUUCAUCAGGAAUGCUUGAAAGUCCCCUAUUUCCUUAAAUAGCUAUUCUUCCCCCACCCCCAAAGGACUAUACUCAGUUUUACUGGGUAGGUUAUUCUUGGUUAUAAUCUUAGCUUCUUAGCUUGCCAAAAUAUCAUGUUCCAAGUCAUCCACACUGUAAUAGUUAAAAUUAAAUUAUGAGGAUGCUAGUAACUUUGUUAACUUUAUUAUAUCAAAGUAGUGAUAGUGUACGAGUUAAAAUUGGCUUAGGUCAAAUUAAGAGUUAUAAAAAGUUGUGGUCAUUGUUUACAAUAAUUAAAAAUUAAAUGGUGAGUAUGUUAGUAAGUUUAGUAGCUUUAUUACAGCAAAAGUAGAGAUAGUAAGGAGAGGGAAAUGUAGAAAGGAGGUAGAAUAUAUUGUCUAGCUAAAUACUACAAGUCUGGAUCUGAGUGCCUCCAGACAAGCAGUGUGAAUCUGAAUGCAAAUCUUACCAUGAGAGUGUCUCCAGUCAAGCAUUUCACCAAGUAAAAGAAUCUGAUGCUGAGGAAGAGAGUCUUACCAAAGAGAGCAUCCCACCAAAGACAGGAGAAGAGCCAAAAAGCCAGUGUCUCUGGCCAGGGUCUUCUCAACCCAAGCAAGUCACCAAAGUUGAACUCCUUGAGCCACCAAUGCAGAAUUAAUCCAAUGCAGAUGUGUCUGUUCAGCUCUCCAGACUUGCCUUUUAUAACCCUUUUCCCAUGUCACUUCCUGUCUCUCUGGUUUAUACUUCCUUUCACUGUGGACUGAUCUAUCAUAUCUCAGGAACCAAUCAUAGUUUCUUAAUUUGCCUGGCACCACCCAGGGGAGCAGUGUCUGUGGGAUCAGUUUCCUGUCUCUUUGGUUUCAACAUCCUUUCUCUGAGAUUUUGUCUAUAUCUACACAUCUCAAUUGUCUUUGACCUCCAGGUCACUGAUUGAUGAUGCCAAACAAAGCGACAUAAUGCAGAGAGAUUCCCUUCCAACAUCACCUUUAAUGAGGAACACACUAAACCUUGUGUAAUCCUGACUGUGGCUCCAUGCUAUUUGUAUUAUUUCUUUCUGGCUGUUUACAAUAUUUUCUCCUUGCUUUGGAAGCUCUGGAAUUUGGUUAUAAUAUUUCUGGGAGUUUUCAUUUUGGCAUCUCUUUUAGUAGUUGAUUGGUGCACCCUUUCCUUUUCUAUUUUGCCCUCUGAAUCUAAGAUAUUGAGGCAGUUUUCCUGGAUAAUCGUAAUAUAAGGUGCAAGCUCUUUUUUCUUAAACCCUUACCUUCUAUCUUAGAUUCACUACUAUGUAUUGGUUCCAAGGCUGAAGAGUAAUAAGGACCAUAAGGCUAUGGGGGUUAAGUGAUGUGCCCAAAGUCACACAGCUAGGAAAUGUCUGAGGCUAGAUUUGAACCCAGGCCAUUCACCCACUAAGCCUGGUUCUCAAUGCACUGAGCCACCUAGCUGCCCCCUGGGUUUGUUUGUUUGUUUGUUUUUUAUCAUCGAUUUUGGUAGUCUAAUAAUUCUUGAAUUAUCCCUCUUAAAUCUGUUUUCCAGGUCAGUUUUUCCCCCAAUGAGUUAUUUCACAUUUUCUUCUUUUUCUUUCAUUUGUUUUGCUUUGUUUAUUAUGUCUUCUUGAUGUCUCACAGAGUCAUUUGCUUCUACUCAUCCAAUUGGAGUUUUUAAGGAAUUAUUUUAGUGUGAGAUUUUAUAUCUCUUCUUCAUUUGACCAUUUCUUCCCCCCCCAAAUUCUUUUCUUCCAUGACUUUUUGUGACUCUUUUACCAAGUUGUUUUCUUUUUAUCAUUUUCUUGCAUCAUUAUUGUUUCCUCUUCUACUUUUUCCAUUUCUUUCUUGAAUUCUUUCAAGAAUUCUUCUUGGUCUUGGCUCCUAUGAGUAUUUUUCUUUGGGGUCUUUCUGGUAGCAAUUUUUACAUUGUUGCCAAUCUUCUGAGUUUGAGCCUUGGUCUUCCUUGCCACUGUAGCAUUUUUAUGAUCAAGUUAUUUAUUUCUUUUGCUUAUUUUUCCAGUCUAUUUCCUGACUGAUCUUGAGGUUAAAGUUAGGCUCUGCUUGCCUAGGGAUGGAGAAGCACUGUGCCCAGCUUCAGGCUUUUGGGGGCUGCUGUUCUCAGAGUGAUGCUCUUGGAGGAUGUGCAAGUUUUGGGUGUUCUUUAUUGUAACAUUUAAAAUAGUUGUCUGCCAUAAACUGUGGCAGUUAAAAGAGUUGAGGUUGUAAACUGUAGUGAGUUAAAAUGGUGGAAGAUAUAAAUUGUGAUAGAUAAAGAGAGGGUGAGUAAAUUUGACCGCAGGAAAUAUGUUUCCACUACAGUGUCUUGUUUUUAAAUCAAUAUAUAAGGUGGUCGCCAGGGAAAUAUUCCCAAUUAUUCAAUAUACCCAAGUCAACUGGGUUUUAUAGAGAUUUUAAUUAAUAAUACAAUAAGUAAUUAAAGGAAAGAGAGAAAAAGGAAAUAAGUACGAAAGGCCUUAAGCCAACAUGGCCUAGACCUGACUCUUAAGAGAGAGAGAGAUCAGUCAGUCAGUCUUUUAUCACUCACCACAAGGUCUGUCUAAGCAAGGAUUCUAGUGACAGCAGGCCAGCUCCAUCUCAGCUGACUUCACCAGAGAGAGUUCCAGCCAGAGUCCUCCUCAAAGAGCCUUCCAGCCAGAGACUGUUCCAAAGGGCCUCUCUCCAGAGCCUCCAGAGGGACAGAGUCCCCUCAGAGGAGCUCCAGCGAGACCUGCCCAUCUGAAUUCCUGCUAAGUCGACUAAUCUCCUCAGUAAGUCUGAACCAGAGAAAAUGCUGCUGUGUCGACUAAUCCCCUCAGUAAGUCUGAACCAGAGAAAACACAGCUGAGUCAACUAAUCUCAUUAAGAGAAAACUUGCCCGACCUUUAUAGGUACCUAGCAUCCCAUUGUAUCAAUUCUAAAAACAGACAUGGCUCAAAGAACUCCUUGCUUCAUCAUAAGCAUGGGUCCAAGUACUUUCAUUGUUUAGCAAGGAGUUUUCUCUCCUAAAGCAGUCUUAAGUACAGGUGGAGUAGAGGUCCUCCCAUUUUUGAUCCUGGCGAGUUCUCACAUCAAAAUGGGGAAUGUUUCCAGUAGGGAAUUUGUUCCAAUGGAGGAUUCCUCAAUGUGGAAAUUUUUAACAUUCACAAGUCUAAGAAAUUUCAAGAUUUACAUUAUGAGAUCCUGGGAUCGAUGUAGUUCACACUCUCAGGUCUCUGCUCGGUCUCGUGCAGCCACAAGUGCUAGUGCUCCUGUUAGCCUUGGAACUGUGACCAGAGCUCCUGCUCCCUUGUGACUGACCACCAGUGCUCUUCCUCACCUUGGAAUUGCAACCCAGAACUGCUUACGGGUAAUAGACUUGCCAUUUGGCACCAGCUGAGCCCAGGGCCAGCAAGGAGCCCUCUGACAUCUCUUUCUGACCAGUAGUCCAAUCCCCUCACUGUGUCCAAACUGAGAGCUGUCAAAGCUGCUGCCGCCCCAAGUGUGGGCUCUGGACACCGUGGUGUAACCCCGUGAUGUUACAGACUUCUCCCAGCCUCUUAAGUUUUCUCAGGCUGGAAAAAGGUCUCACCUCAACUUUUUGUGGGCUCUGCUACUCCAGAAUUGGACUUCAAGUAUAAUUUUAAAGUUGUUUGGAGGAGAAUAUUGGGAGAAUUCAGCUGGGUGGCUGCAGGCGCUCUGCUGUCUUGGCCAGCAUUAGCAUUUAUAGACCACUUUGUGGUUUGCAAAGUGCUGGACAAAUGUGAUCUCAUUUGUGCCUUACAACAGCCCUAGAGGUAAAGUGCUAUUAUCAAUCCCAUUUUACAGUUGAGACAAUUGAGGCAAAUGGAUGUGAAGUGACUUGCCAUGGUCACUCAGCUAGUAAAUAUCUGCAGUCAUCUUUAAACUUAGGGCCUCCUGACUCCCAAUGACAGUACUCCACGCACUGUACCAUGAUGAAGUUUAGUCUAUGGUGGCUGUUUAGAACCAUGCCCCAUUUUUCCCCUGAUAGAAAACAUUUCUGAUAGUAGCAUAUUGUGGGGUUACAACAAUCAUUUUCUAUAUAUGAGGGAAUAUUGUCUAUUUACAUUUAACAUUAAAAUAGUGAGCAGGAAGCUAGGUGGCUCAGUGGAUUGAGAGCCAGGCCUAGAGAUGAAAGGUCCUGGGUUCAAAUCUGACCUUUGAACCCAGCCAAGUCACUUAAUUAACCCCUAUUGCCUGGCCCUGACUGCUCUUCUGCCUUGGAACCAAUAAAUAGUAUUGAUGUUAAGAUAGAUGGUAAAGGGUUUAAAAAAACCCCAAAUAUUAAAAUAGUUCAUGUGACUUUGACCACACCUGUCAUUUCAUCCAGAGUGAAAGUCCCUUUGCCAAUGUCUACUUGCAACACACUUCAAUUUAUAGUCUCAGAGGGUCUUCUAGGGGCAAUUAGAGACAUCAUGAUUUAUUCAGGGUUUUAUAAACAGUAUAGAUCAGAAGCAGGACUUGAACUCAGGUCUUUCUAAUGCAUAAGCCAGCUUCCUAUCCACUCUACCAAGCUGUCUAUCUUUGUCACUAUUCAUUUUCUUAGAGAGGAAUUUGAUCUCUGCCUCGUUUUCAGUUAAUACCACAGCUCUCCUUGUUCCCUCUGGCUUUCAGGGACUCUGUGGAAGCAGACACUCCCCUCCUUGCCACUACCUUUUGUGAAUAACAAGAAAGCACUGAGGAAUUAUCGUGGCCUAAAGCCUUGGAACAAAUCUGCAAGAGGCCCCCCACCAGUCUUUCUCCAAUUCUGUGAGGCGAGAAGGGCCAGGAGCCACUGACGGAUCCAUCUCACAAGUGCCACCUCUUUCCCCAUGUCCUGAUGAUGUGAUCGAAGGGGCCAAAUGGAAAAGGUUUCUUGGAUUACUCAGUCAAUGGUUCCUUAAUGACUGGAGUUACUUCAGCUAGUUUGGCCUCUAGUCAGCUGGAAGGGAGAGGGGAUGGUCCAAUAGGGUGUGAAUGAUGUAAGGAAACUUCUUCAAGGGUGCCCGAUUGUCCUGGUUGAUGAAGCACCCGAUUCACUGAGCUGGUCUCGAAAUGCUGGGUCCUUGCUCAAUCCUGACUGUAAAAUAUUUCUUCUUCAAAAAUCCUUGCAUUGUACUUCAAAACUCCUCUUAGAGCGAUGUGCCUAGCUAUGAAGGGGCUUUGGCUGUGUAGACACUCACUGUCCAAGGAGAACAAGGCUUGCAGUUCUAAUAAGAGAGGUUAGUCUUGGUAAGUGGCUUUUGCCUACAGCUCAGAGUCCAGUAGGCAAUGAGGGGCGGAUUUGUAUUGCAUUGUAUUUCAUUUUAUGGGGGUUACUGUUUAUUAGGCUUCUCCCCACCCCACAUGCAACCGUCCUAGCUUUGGAGAAACCCCACGUAAAUCCACAGAUCCAUUCAGGAAGGGCAUUCAUUCUUCAGUCCCAUCCACCAGUCACGCAGAAGCUUGGAGUGCAUUUUGAUGUUUUUAUCAAAUGGAUUCAAAAUCCACCCCAAUUCUUUGUUGAUAAUGCUUUUGCGGGGGCAGCUGGGUAUCUCAGUGGAUUGAGAGCCAGUCCUAGAGAUGGGAGGUCUUAGGUUCAAAUCUGGCCUCAGACUCUUCCCAGGGGUAUGACCCUGGGCAAGUCACUUGACCCCCAUUGCCUAGCCCUUACCACUAUUCUGCCAAUAUACAGUAUUGACUCUAAGACAGAAGGUAAGGGUUAAAAAAAGGAAAUGCUUUUGCACAGGUGAGGACUUUUCCCCUAGUAGUUUUUUUAAGAAUGCAGCUGGGGCAAUAAGCAUGUAAAAAGUAUCUUAAAUCCCUCCUGAUUAGAGAAAUGCCAAUCAAAACACCUCACACCUAGCAGAUUGGUUAACAUGGCAGCAACAGAAAGUAAUGAAUGCUGGAGGGGGUGUGGCAAAGUCGAACAUUAAUGCAUUGCUGGUGGAGUUGUGAAUUGAGCUAGUUGGAACUAUGCCCAAAGGGCCCUAAAAGACUUCGAUCCAGCCAUAACCCUGCUGGGUUUGUACACUAAAGAGAUAAUAAGGAAAAAGACUUGUACAAGAACAUUCAUAGCUGCGCUCUUUGUGGUGACAAAAAAAUUGGAAAAUGAGGAGAUGUCCUUUGAUUGGGGAAUGGCUGAACACAUUGUGGUAUCUGUUGGUGAUGGAAUACUAUUGUGCUCAAAGGAAUGAUGAACUGGAGGGACUCCAUGUGAACUGGGAUGACCUCCAUGAACUGAUGCAGUGAGAGGAGCAGAACCAGGAGAACAUCGAACACAGAGACUGAUACAUUGUAGCAUAAUCGAAUGUAACUGACUUCUCCAUUAGUAGCAAUGCAGUGAUCCUGAACAACCUGGAGGGAUCUACAAGAAAGAACACUGUCCACACCCAGAGGAAGAACUGUGGGAGCAGAAACACAGAAGAAAAACACCUGCUUGAUCACAUGGGUCGAGGGGAGAUAUGAUUGAGAAUGUCGACUCUAAAUAAUGACUCUGGGGCAAUUUUCAAUAAUAUGGAUACGGGUCUUGAUCAACAACACAUGUAAAACCCAGAGGAAUUGUGCGUCAGCUACAGGGUGAGUGGGGAGGAGGGAAGGGAAAGAACAGGAAUCUUGGAACCGUGGAAAAAUAUUCUAAAUUAACGAAUUAAAUGAAAAAAAAAUUCAAACCAA